GCGAGAACUGCUUCCUACAUGUCCCCACCCCUCUCACUGCUGUAGCUUCAGGGCAGAAGAGCCACAGAGCCAAAUGCUGCAGAGAUGAAGGGAGACGGAAAGAGCCAAAUGCUGCAGAGAUCAAGGGAGACGGAAGGAUGUCGCCUCCAGAGCUGGGGCCACGGGCAGCGCCAGGGCAGGUUCAUCACUGAUGGCAAGUCUGUGGCUGACCACGUUCACAGGGGUGGCCCUGAGCAAAGGUCGGACAUGAGGACCCAGGAGAAUUCAGGCCCCGGCUCUGGGACGGCUGUGCACCCCCACCCUGGCCGUGGCUGGCACCUCAGAAGGCACAGCUGUCCUUCACUCGCACGGAGCAACCUCGGGACAGAUGGUGGGAGAGGAAGGGCAACUCGAGGAGGCACAUUUUAGGAAACUGCCCACGGAGCCAGUUUCGAUUCUCCAAACCUCGUCAGCAUGCAGAGGCUCCCUGACUCGGCAGCAAGGAGGGCCUCAUCAGCCGACCCCCAUGCCCGGCACCCCCUUCACCAGUGGGUAAACUAUGCUCGCCACCACUCAGCACUCACCUCUUGGGCUCAGAGGGCAGAAAGUCUGACCCUUCUCUCUUAAAAGCAGGGUCCUGAAAACUCCAGAGAGCAGUGCCCUGUGCAUUAAACACAGACUGCGCCCUUGUACUCAGGUAUGACCAUUUGUCCUGGACAAAAAUUAAACUGAUGAGGGAACAAAAUAGGGCCUUAUAGAAGGUGAGUGGAAAAGCAGGGAAGGCAAACCCCCAAAUUCAGGAGGGAGGAUGGAAUUGGCCUGGGGAGCAGAGGCAGGAGGUUCUGUGGACAGGGCUGGUGGAGCUCUGGGGGGAGCAGAGGCAGGAGGUUUUGUGGACAUGGUUGAUGGACCUCUGCGGGGAGAAGACGGAGGAGAUUUUGUGGACAGGGCUGGUGGAGCUCUGCGGGGAGCAGACACAGGAGGUUCUGUGGACAGGGCUGGUGGAGCUCUGGCCACUUCCUCCGUAAACUAGAGACGUGAUCCCCAGGGCCAGGUCUGUCUCUGAGGUCCUACCAGCUGGGACAGGAGGAUGCAAUUCUCUCUCUAAAGUCGAGAGCUCACCACCCCGGGCGUUCGUCACUGCAGACAUCACUGCAGACACAGAGACGGCCAUUAGAGCUCACCACCCCGGGCGUUCGUCACUGCAGACAUCACUGCAGACACAGAGAAGGCCAUUAGAGCUCACCACCCCGGGCGUUCGUCACUGCAGACAUCACUGCAGACACAGAGACGGCCAUUAUGCAGCCUCACGUGGUCACUCCUGGGGGCGGUAGGAUAUUUUAUCCUAAAGAGAAAACACCUUAAAUUCUCACAUCAGCCACCCCCAUGGCGACUCUUAACACCUUAAUGUAGCACCUUCCAACUUUUCCUGGGCAUUUAUGUACAAAUUGUAAUAAAAUUGGGUUCUUACUGCAUACGCUGCUUGCUGGUUUCUA
rnacentral:lncRNA from 10 species